rnacentral:rRNA from 1 species
UACGUAGGUGGCAAGCGUUGUCCGGAUUUACUGGGCGUUAAAGAGCGCGCAGGCGGUCGUUCAAGUCGCGUGUGAAAGCCCCCGGCUCAACUGGGGAGGGUCAUUCGAUACUGAUCGACUGGAAGGCAGGAGAGGGAAGCGGAAUUCCCGGUGUAGUGGUGAAAUGCGUAGAUAGUCGGGAGGAAUACCGGUGGCGAAGGCGGCAUCCUGGACCGACACUGACGCUGAGGAGCGAAAGCCAGGGGAGCAAAGCGGG